GACGAACGCCGGCGGCGUGCUUAACACAUGCAAGUCGAACGGAAAGGCCCUGCUUUUGUGGGGUGCUCGAGUGGCGAACGGGUGAGUAACACGUGAGUAACCUGCCCUUGACUUUGGGAUAACUUCAGGAAACUGGGGCUAAUACCGGAUAGGAGCUCCUGCUGCAUGGUGGGGGUUGGAAAGUUUCGGCGGUUGGGGAUGGACUCGCGGCUUAUCAGCUUGUUGGUGGGGUAGUGGCUUACCAAGGCUUUGACGGGUAGCCGGCCUGAGAGGGUGACCGGCCACAUUGGGACUGAGAUACGGCCCAGACUCCCACGGGAGGCAGCAGUGGGGAAUAUUGCACAAUGGGCGGAAGCCUGAUGCAGCAACGCCGCGUGCGGGAUGACGGCCUUCGGGUUGUAAACCGCUUUCGCCUGUGACGAAGCGUGAGUGACGGUAAUGGGUAAAGAAGCACCGGCUAACUACGUG
rnacentral:rRNA from 1 species